AGACUAGAGAUCGAGGGUCUUUCUGUAACAGAAAAGCCAAAAGAAGUUGACAUCACAGAUGGAGUGACUACGAAAGAGAGGGCGUUGAUGUU